GGCCUUAUAGUUCAGUUGGUUAGAACAUACCACUCAUAAUGGUAAUGUCGGAGGAUCGUGCCCUCCUAAGGCUA
rnacentral:tRNA from 1 species